CAGUAGCCGCGGUAAUACGUAGGUGGCAAGCGUUGUCCGGAAUUAUUGGGCGUAAAGGGAGCGCAGGCGGUUUAGUAAGUCUGAAGUUAAAGGCAUUGGCUCAACCAAUGUAUGCUUUGGAAACUGUUAGACUUGAGUGCAGAAGGGGAGAGUGGAAUUCCAUGUGUAACGGUGAAAUGCGUAGAUAUAUGGAGGAACACCGGUGGCGAAAGCGGCUCUCUGGUCUGUCACUGACGCUGAGGCUCGAAAGCGUGGGUAGCGAGCAGGAUUAGAUACCCGAGUAGUCCCUGUCUCUUAUACA
rnacentral:rRNA from 1 species